rnacentral:lncRNA from 1 species
AGUGAGGUCGGCGCCCGCCAGUAACAAACAUGGCUCCCUGAAGCCGCUCAGGCUCAAGAGCAACAUGGAGGUCUGCACUUAAUCGCUCCUCUCCGGGGGCGGCCAUACCGAGGAGGCGUCUCUUCCGUGCAGGCAGGCUCUCCUGGGGACCUCAGAGAUUCUCUCCAGCGGCAGCGGAAAACGGACAAUGGGUGGAUUCGGGUCCAGAUUCUGGUAGGAGGGAGUUUGGGAUCGAGAUCUGGAAAAAAGCACUAGACUGGAAGAGGACGCGAUGGAGUCGGAGCCGCUGGCGGGGACAAAAACCAGAGGCCGGGGAAGGCGCCGGUGGGAGGCAAGGCACGGAUGGACUUUACCUGCGCACGCGUCGCAGCCAUCUCCGCGCACAGUGGUGGCCACCGCGACUGGUGCUGAAGUGUUGGCGCGUGCCGGGCGCUCCGCUGGGACCCGGGUUGCUGGCCCUGAGUCUCAGCUUUCUCAUCUGUACGGUUGGGACAAGUACAGUAACCCUCGCCCGUCAAGACGGGCCAGGGCUGUGGCGAGGGUCCACGCCUUAGAGCAGGUACCUAUCUUGUGCAGGGCCCUGAGAUGGGGUCUGACUCAGUUCCUGCGGGGAACUUCACCAGUGACCCAGUCAGUGCCCUUCAGUUAAAGACCACCAGGAGCACACUUGCAGGAGUAGGGCUGAUUGGAGCCAUUGUACAGUGUCGGGAACAUACCAGGACACUGAGAAUAGUGUCAUGUCAUAAGGACCCAGAGCAGAUGGACCCUGCUGUGAUGCACAAAGAGGACCACGCAAGAUAUGAUAAAGAUCUACAUCACUGAAUUUUGGUUCCAUUUUUGUAUCUCAGCUUCCAGGAAAUAAAAAAGAAUUCUAACAUUCAUACUUUCAGUAUUUUAUGUGAGAGGUUUUGUUGUCAAAAUCAAGUCUGAGAGCAAUGUUUGUUGGGGCCUUUAAUUGGAGUCACCAAGCGAUAAAGGGGACAUUGUCCUCAACAAUAACCCUAUAAUAAACACGUUUUGGACAAUAA